rnacentral:lncRNA from 1 species
GGUGUGAAACUAGACUCAAAGGGCUUUCCAGCAAUGUAUGCCAACCAGCAUGAAACAUUGUAGAUUGGUACAGUUUUACUUGGCAAGUUGUACCAACAUUCUGUCACGACAGACUGUUGACCUUCUGAGCAGUCUGUGCUAAUUCUGGUCUAGAGGCAAUAUGGAGUAUCCAAACUGGUCGCCACUAGAUUCAUUGGAAAGUAGACUUGUCAAGAUUUCCAACAAGUGUUCAUGGACCUUCAUAGCAUUUGUGAGUGAAAAGUUAUGAAGAUUUCUUGCACUGGUCCGUUUUUGACUUCCACUGGU